UAAACUUAACUCUUUGACUUGCACAAUGGAAUGUUUUAGCAUAUCUCAUGCAUCAUGAUUAUGCAAUAGGUUGAUUGCAUUAGUAUCCACGAAUAUGUUGCAUUGCAUAGUUAUUGUUGAUGUGGGUGAAUGCUGAAUGAUCCAAUAGUCUCAGACAGGAAGUCCAGGAGCCUUUGACUACGCCCUGGCAGGUAUAGUAAAGACCAGGAGCCUUUGACUACGCCCUGGCAGUUAUAGUAAAGACCAGGAGCCUUUGACUACGCCCUGGCAAUGGUAAGUACAGAGGUGUUAUAUACACAUAUACAUAUAUGACAGGAAGACCAGGUGCUCGAUUCUACGCCCUGGCACAGAGUUACU
rnacentral:lncRNA from 1 species